rnacentral:rRNA from 1 species
UACGUAGGGGGGCUAGCGUUGUCCGGAAUCAUUGGGCGUAAAGCGCGUGUAGGCGGCCCGGUAAGUCCGCUGUGAAAGUCGGGGGGCUCAACCCUCGGAUGCCGGUGGAUACUGUCGGGCUAGAGUGCGGAAGAGGCGAGUGGAAUUCCUGGUGUAGCGGUGAAAUGCGCAGAUAUCAGGAGGAACACCAAUUGCGAAGGCAGCUCGCUGGGACGUUACUGACGCUGAGACGCGAAAGCGUGGGGAGCAAACAGG